rnacentral:rRNA from 1 species
AGAGUUUGAUCAUGGCUCAGAUUGAACGCUGGCGGCAUGCCUAACACAUGCAAGUCGAACGGCAGCGCGGGGGCAACCCUGGCGGCGAGUGGCGGACGGGUGAGGAAUGCAUAGGAAUCUGCCCGGUUGUGGGGGAUAACGUAGGGAAACUUACGCUAAUACCGCAUACGACCUUCGGGUGAAAGUGGGGGACCUUCGGGCCUCACGCGAUCGGAUGAGCCUAUGCCCGAUUAGCUAGUUGGCGGGGUAAGAGCCCACCAAGGCGACGAUCGGUAGCUGGUCUGAGAGGAUGAUCAGCCACACUGGGACUGAGACACGGCCCAGACUCCUACGGGAGGCAGCAGUGGGGAAUCUUGCGCAAUGGGCGAAAGCCUGACACAGCCAUGCCGCGUGAAUGAUGAAGGUCUUAGGAUUGUAAAAUUCUUUCACCGGGGACGAUAAUGACGGUACCCGGAGAAGAAGCCCCGGCUAACUUCGUGCCAGCAGCCGCGGUAAUA